CCUACGGGAGGCAGCAGUGAGGAAUAUUGGUCAAUGGACGAGAGUCUGAACCAGCCAAGUAGCGUGAAGGAUGACUGCCCUAUGGGUUGUAAACUUCUUUUAUAAAGGAAUUAACAGAGGCACGUGUGCCUUUUUGCACGUACUUUAUGAAUAAGGAUCGGCUAAAGCCGUGCCAGCAGCCGCGGUAAUACGGAGGGUGCGAGCGUUAUCCGGAUUUAUUGGGUUUAAAGGGAGCGUAGAUGGGUUGUUAAGUCAGUUGUGAAAGUUUGCGGCUCAACCGUAAAAUUGCAAUUGAUACUGGCAGUCUUGAAUACAGUUGAGGUAGGCGGAAUUCGUGGUGUAGCAGUGAAAUGCUUAGAUAUCACGAAGAACCCCGAUUGCGAAGGCAGCUUACUAAACUGUGACUGACAUUGAUGCUCGAAAGUGUGGGUAUCAAACAGGAUUAGAUACCCUAGUAGUC
rnacentral:rRNA from 1 species